AGUGAACGCUGGCGGUAGGCCUAACACAUGCAAGUCGAACGGCAGCACAGUAAGAGCUUGCUCUUACGGGUGGCGAGUGGCGGACGGGUGAGGAAUACAUCGGAAUCUACUUUUUCGUGGGGGAUAACGUAGGGAAACUUACGCUAAUACCGCAUACGACCUACGGGUGAAAGCAGGGGAUCUUCGGACCUUGCGCGAUUGAAUGAGCCGAUGUCGGAUUAGCUAGUUGGCGGGGUAAAGGCCCACCAAGGCGACGAUCCGUAGCUGGUCUGAGAGGAUGAUCAGCCACACUGGAACUGAGACACGGUCCAGACGCCUACGGGAGGCAGCAGUGGGGAAUAUUGGACAAUGGUCGCAAGCCUGAUCCAGCCAUACCGCGUGGGUGAAGAAGGCCUUCGGGUUGUAAAGCCCUUUUGUUGGGAAAGAAAAGCAGCAGGUUAAUACCCCGCUGUUCUGACGGUACCCAAAGAAUAAGCACCGGCUAACUUCGUG
rnacentral:rRNA from 1 species